rnacentral:pre_miRNA from 1 species
AGUUGACAGAAAACAUUUCUGCACAGGCCAGAUUAUUGAAGCCAGUGUGGAGAAAUUCUUCUGCUACAUU